rnacentral:lncRNA from 1 species
AUGUGAGACAUUUGAUCUGAGACGUUUGAAUGAGAGUGUGCAGGCUGCUCUCACUCCGAAGAACUUUCCUGCCCAGAUGAUCCAGCUUCCCCAAAACUCCUGCACAUAUGACAGCAAAGUGUGCACAAGAAGAGAGCAAUUUCCCUUUUUGAUAAUGCUCUUAGUCUUCAUUGGUCCCUGUAGCAAAUGAUUGUGGUUCUUUACACACUUCCUGUCUUGCUGGAAUUCAUCCCAUAAGAGGCUGAAUAAUCGCUUGUAGAAUGUUUUUAAGGAAAAAUGUCUCCACCUGAUCACUGAGUUUCCAUGAGCUUCACAGCUCACUGAAUCUCAUAAAAGUUAUUUAAAUGUAUGAAAAUUGUACUUAUGCCCUGACUGUUGUGCAAGAUCUUUGUUCUAGCUAGUGUGUCCUCUGCAUUAUGGAUCGUCUUAUAACAAACUUGAUGUCAAAACAGAGAGACACACAUUGUUUAUUCUCAGCCAAGAAAUCAGCUAUAACACUACUCUUGAAGAAUCUCCAUGUGUGUAACCAGAAUUAAAUUCCUCAUAUUAAGUGGUGCGGGGCCUCUCUGAAACACUGCAGACCGUUAGAAUCAGGUGUUUGGAAGAGAUAAGAAAUGGCAGUUGCAAACCAUGCCUUCCUCACAGGUGCAGAGAUUUAGCAAGACUGAGGAGGCAAAUCCAGACCAACACGCACCACCAGGGCAGCCAGCUGUGGAGGAGGCGCAAGUGGCCACAGAUUCGCUGGGCGACACAGUCAACCCCUGAAAGUUGGUCUGACUUCAGAGUGGGCCCUGCUCCGCCACACAACAUUGGGCAAUGGCCUACAGAACUGCUUCUAAACCAAAGGGUUCCUGGAUUGCAGUGCUGUGCGAAAGAUUGCCACUGUUUUGCACUGCAGCUGCUCACUGGUGUAGAUCUACUGUAUUACUCACUCUUAAGUUCCACCACUGUAAAUACAGAACUGCUUUGUUCAAGUCCCUGAGGCUUGAUGAGCCUGCUUUUGACACAGCCUGGUAAGAGAAAUUGCGCUUAGCUAAUGAAUUGAUUGUAGAGGUAUAUUUUUUCAAGAACAUUCUCCUUGUUUAAUCUUUUUGUUUUGUUUUGUUUUGUUUUUUAAGUCAUUUCCAAGGGGACAAACUUAACUUAAAAGUGGGUUAACAUAUCAUAAGCAAGGUCACUUUUCUUUGUUCCCACAACCGCUCUGAUUAUAUGGUGAGAGGAGACAUAAGCUUGACCUAGUGGACAUUGCUGUGAACUUGCACUUUGGACUUCCCGGGAGUCCUUGAAUGGGCCACUCACCCGGUGCUGUACUUCAGUCUCCUGUCUGCAAAAUGCAGCUAAAGCUUCCCUGCUGGGCAGGGGCACUGUAAGUAAAGCCCUGUGAAGAUUGCAAGAUGCUUAAAAACAGCACCAGUGAUGGCCACAUAAGUGCCAAGAACAGAUAUGUAUCUACAUAUCCAGACAGCUGCAGACUUAUUGUGACUCAAUCAAGUUUAAACAUCUUAAGAUAAAAGCUGCUAUUUCAAGCUCCUUAGGCUCAAGGAAAUCCAUAAUAAAAACAAACCAUCAACAUAGAAAUAACUGGGA